UCUAACCAUUUACCACAAGUUCAUAUCAUCAUAAACUAGACUUAACAUUCCGAAAUUCCAAAUAAGAGAGAUCUUGUAACACUUUUACAAGGUAUAUCCAUUUCGGUUCAUCGACAACAUUUCAUUACAUACAAAAUAUACUUAUACAACAAUAACAUAAUAAUCAACAAGACUUGCCCAUAAUUCUGAAUAGCUCUCCACUGCCUUAGCCCAAUUCAAACAUCUCAAAG
rnacentral:lncRNA from 1 species